rnacentral:rRNA from 1 species
AUGGGCGGAGGGGACGAGCAUGGCGCGUCGGCUCGGCUGGAGAGCAUCCUCACGGACUCGUCGGCACCGCGGGCGGAGCGCGUGUGGGCGGCGGGGGCAAUCGAGCUCGGGAUGCUCUUGCGGCUGGCCGUCCCGGCGGUGAUCAUGUACAUGAUCAACUUCCUCAUGUCCAUGUCCACCCAGAUCUUCUCCGGCCACCUCGGGAGCCUGGAGCUCGCCGCCGCCUCCCUCGGAAACACAGGCGUCCAGAUGUUCGCCUAUGGCCUCAUGCUGGGCAUGGGUAGUGCAGUGGAGACCCUUUGCGGACAAGCCUACGGUGGACACAAGUACGACAUGCUCGGCACCUACCUACAACGCUCCGCCGUUAUCCUCUGCUGCACCGGCAUACCUCUCGCCGUGAUCUACGCCUUCUCGGAGCCAAUCCUCCUCCUGCUGGGGCAGUCGCCGGAGAUAGCCCGCGCGGCGUCCAUCUUCGUGUACGGCCUCAUCCCUCAGAUCUUCGCCUACGCCAUCAACUUCCCGAUCCAGAAGUUCCUGCAGGCGCAGAGCAUCGUCCUCCCCAGCGCUUACAUCUCCACGGCGACGCUCGUGUUGCACCUGCUGCUCAGCUGGGUCGUCGUCUACAAGGUUGGUCUCGGGCUGCUCGGCGCCUCGCUGGUGCUGAGCCUGAGCUGGUGGAUCAUUGUGGUGGCGCAGUUCGCGUACAUCAUCAUGAGCCCGACGUGCCGGCGGACAUGGACAGGGUUCACUAUCAAGGCCUUCUCCGGGUUGCCGGAAUUCCUCAAGCUCUCCGCCGCGUCCGCGGUGAUGUUGUGCCUCGAGACAUGGUACUACCAGGUCAUGGUGCUCAUUGCUGGCUUGCUCCCCAACCCCGAGCUUUCCCUGGAUUCCCUCUCAGUAUGCUUGACAAUCUCUGCUUGGGUGUUCAUGAUAUCAAUAGGUUUCAACGCCGCCGCAAGUGUUAGAGUGAGCAAUGAGCUUGGUGCCGGCAACCCCAAGUCUGCAUUUUUCUCGGUUUGGGUCGUGACAGUGCUCUCUGCAAUAAUCGCCGCCGUCCUUGCUGUUGUGAUCAUGUGCUUCCGCAACUACAUCAGCUACAUCUUCACAGAGGGUGAAAGAGUUUCCGACGCCGUGGCGGAUCUGUGCCCGCUGCUCGCCAUCACCAUCAUUCUCAAUGGCAUCCAACCUGUACUGUCAGAGAUAUCAGGUGUUGCUGUUGGGUGUGGGUGGCAACAAUUUGUUGCCUACGUCAACGUCGGCUGCUACUACAUCGUAGGUGUUCCCCUUGGUGUUCUUCUUGGUUUUGUCUUCAACUUUGGCGUGAAGGGCCUUUGGGGUGGCAUGAUUGGAGGAACGGCCAUGCAGACUGCCAUUCUGUUGUGGGUCACCAUUAGAACUGAUUGGAGCAAAGAGGUAGAGGAGGCACAAAAAAGAUUGAACAAGUGGGAUGAUACAAAGAAGGAGCCGCUUCUUGUUGGCGUCACAGAUGAUAACUAA